rnacentral:hammerhead_ribozyme from 1 species
AUUCAUCUGACGAGUCCCAAAUAGGACGAAACGCGCAUCAAACUGGAU